rnacentral:rRNA from 1 species
AACGAACGCUGGCGGCAGGCCUAACACAUGCAAGUCGAACGUGAAGCCACCUUCGGGUGGUGGAAAGUGGCAGACGGGUGAGUAACGCGUGGGAACGUGCCUUUCGGUUCGGAACAACCCAGGGAAACUUGGGCUAAUACCGGAUACGCCCUUCGGGGGAAAGAUUCAUUGCAGAAAGAUCGGCCCGCGUCGGAUUAGCUAGUUGGUAGGGUAAUGGCCUACCAAGGCGACGAUCCGUAGCUGGUCUGAGAGGAUGACCAGCCACACUGGGGCUGAGACACGGCCCAGACUCCUACGGGAGGCAGCAGUGGGGAAUAUUGGACAAUGGGCGCAAGCCUGAUCCAGCCAUGCCGCGUGGGUGAAGAAGGCCUUAGGGUUGUAAACCCCUUUCAGCGGGGAAGAUAAUGACGGUACCCGCAGAAGAAGUCCCGGCUAACUUCGUGCCAGCCGCCGCUGUAAAAC